GGGGAUAUGGCUCAGUGGUAGAGCUCUUGCCUAGCAUAUUCAAGCUCUAGGUUCAAUCCCUAGUACCACCA
rnacentral:tRNA from 1 species